rnacentral:lncRNA from 1 species
AGAUUGUUUCUGUCUAGAUUUUAUGUAAAGGUAUUUCCUUUUCUAACGUAGGCCGCAAAGUGCUCCAAAUGUCCACUUGCAGAUUCUACAAAAAGAGUGUUUUCAAACUGUUCAAUCAAAAGAAAGUUUCAAAUCCGUGAGAUGAACGCAUACAUCACAAAGAAGUUUCUCAGAAUUCUUCUGUCUAGUUUUUAUGUGAACAUAUUUCCUUUUCCACCAUAGGCCACAAAGGGCUCCAAAUAUCCACUUGCAGAUUCCACAAA